UUCCGGUUGAUCCUGCCAGACCUGACUGCUAUCGGAUUGAUACUAAGCCAUGCGAGUCUUUGUAGUAAUACAAGGCAGACGGCUCAGUAACACGUAGUCAACCUACCCUAUGGACGAGAAUAAUCUCGGGAAACUGAGCAUAAUUCUCGAUAGAUCAUAAUGCCUGGAAUGGUUUAUGGUUAAAAUGAUUCGUCGCCAUAGGAUGGGACUGCGGCCUAUCAGCUUGUUGGUGAGGUAAUGGCCCACCAAGGCGAUUACAGGUACGGGCUCUGAGAGGAGAAGCCCGGAGAUGGGUACUGAGACACGGACCCAGGCCCUAUGGGGCGCAGCAGGCGAGAAAACUUUGCAAUGUGCGAAAGCACGACAAGGUUAAUCCGAGUGAUUUCUGCUAAAGAAAUCUUUUGCCAGUCAUAAAACCACUGGUGAAUAAGGGGUGGGCAAGUUCUGGUGUCAGCCGCCGCGGUAAAACCAGCACCUCAAGUGGUCAGGAUGAUUAUUGGGCCUAAAGCAUCCGUAGCCGGCUUUGUUAGUUUUCGGUUAAAUCCAUGUGCUCAACACAUGGGCUGCCGAAAAUACUGCAUGGCUAGGGAGUGGGAGAGGUAGACGGUACUCAGUAGGAAGGGGUAAAAUCCUUUGAUCUAUUGAUGACCACCUGUGGCGAAGGCGGUCUACCAGAACACGUUCGACGGUGAGGGAUGAAAGCUGGGGGAGCAAACCGGAUUAGAUACCCGGGUAGUCCCAGCUGUAAACGAUGCAGACUCGAUGAUGCAUUGGCAUAAUAGCCAAUGCAGUGUCGCAGGGAAGCCGUUAAGUCUGCCGCCUGGGAAGUACGUACGCAAGUAUGAAACUUAAAGGAAUUGGCGGGGGAGCACCACAAGGGGUGAAGCCUGCGGUUCAAUUGG
rnacentral:rRNA from 1 species